rnacentral:rRNA from 1 species
GACGAACGCUGGCGGCGUGCUUAACACAUGCAAGUCGAGCGGUAAGGCCCUUUCGGGGGUACACGAGCAGCGAACGGGUGAGUAACACGUGGGUGACCUGCCCUCAGCUCUGGGAUAAGCCCGGGAAACUGGGUCUAAUACCGGAUAUGACUUCAUGACGCAUGUUGUGGAGUGGAAAGCCUUGUGCGGCUGAGGAUGGGCCCGCGGCCUAUCAGCUUGUUGGUGGGGUGAUGGCCUACCAAGGCGACGACGGGUAGCCGGCCUGAGAGGGCGACCGGCCACACUGGGACUGAGAUACGG